UACUGCAAAGCUAGGGAGUGGGAGAGGUAGACGGUACUCCGUAGGAAGGGGUAAAAUCCUUUGAUCUAUGGAUGACCACCUGUGGCGAAGGCGGUCUACCAGAACACGUUCGACGGUGAGGGAUGAAAGCUGGGGGAGCAAACCGGAUUAGAUACCCGGGUAGUCCCAGCUGUAAACUAUGCAAACUCAGUGAUGCAUUGGCUUGUGGCCAGUGCAGUGCCGCAGGGAAGCCGUUAAGUUUGCCGCCUGGGAAGUACGUACGCAAGUAUGAAACUUAAAGGAAUUGGCGGGGGAGCACCACAAGGGGUGAAGCCUGCGGUUCAAUUGGAGUCAACGCCAGAAAUCUUACCCGGAGAGACAGCAGGAUGAAGGUCAAGCUGAAGACUUUACCAGACAAGCUGAGAAGUGGUGCAUGGCCGUCGCCAGCUCGUGCCGUGAGGUGUCCUGUUAAGUCAGGUAACGAGCGAGAUCCUUGCCUCUAGUUGCCACCAUUACUCUCAGGAGUAGUGGGGCGAAUU
rnacentral:rRNA from 1 species